rnacentral:rRNA from 1 species
UACGUAGGGUCCGAGCGUUGUCCGGAGUUACUGGGCGUAAAGCGCGCGCAGGCGGCCGUUCAAGUCUGGCGUGAAAGCCCCCGGCUCAACCGGGGAGGGUCGUCGGAGACUGGGCGGCUUGAGGGCGGCAGGGGCUGGUGGAAUUCCCGGUGUAGUGGUGAAAUGCGUAGAGAUCGGGAGGAACACCCGUGGCGAAGGCGGCCAGCUGGGCCGGUCCUGACGCUGAGGCGCGAAGGCGUGGGGAGCGAACGGG